GAUGCAACGUUCAGUUUGAGAAGUAACAUAUGAAGGGGUCAUUGAAGCAUUCGCUCAGCCGAUUCAUUCAGACGAUGGACUCAUUUGAGAACUAAUCACUGUGUUGCGAAGAGGCGCAACGGCUCUGCUGUGAAUUGGUUUGAAACUAGCCUAUUUUCGUCGACUAUAGAGCAAAAUCGGACAAUACUGUGUCUAAAAUCAGAACUACCACACAACAAUCACAAUUCACACUUGAAGGGAGAGGACAGUGAGAACACGAGGGAUCCAAAACCCUGCAGAGUGAAACAGCAUGAUACUGAAGAACAAAGAGAAUCACUCUAGGGCAGUGGUUCUCAACCGGGGGCCCACUAGGGAGCC